ACGGAAGGAUCUUGGAUGUUGUUUCCUUGAAGACGCCCAAGCUUCGUUGACAAGCAUGGGUUGUGUUUGAUGAGUUGACAGCUGCUAGUAACGCCUUCCGUCAGAUGCAAAAUUUUCCAUGUUAUGAUAAACCUAUGGUGAAUACAAUAUGCAAAGACAAAGUCAGAUUGUAUUGCCAAAAAUGAUGGAAGCUUUGUUCCCAGAGAAAAGAAGAAGCAAGAACAGAAAGGAAACGACGUGCAGAGGAAGCACAGCAAUAUACAAUGUCAAAUAGCGCAGGUUCUCAAAGUAAUGGUGGACCGAAGGCUCCUUUCCAUGGAAACGUGAAUGCCCAAGAGCAGGCGUUCUGUUCAUACAGAAUUUACCUCAUUAGACAACGAGCGUGAUGCUGCAACUGGUUUUCAUACAAUACCCUGGGUUCAGGGAAGACCGGAUGAUUGAAGCAAAGUCGGGUAAUGCAUUCGUGGAGUAUGAAGACGAAGAGCAGUCUUCUACAGAAAUGCAGAACCUGCAGGGUUUCAAGAUCGCCCCUCGGUAUCCCAUGGCUAUCACUUUCGCUAAAAAGUAAAAUAACCUAUCCUUGUACCGGUGAUGUUUAAUUUCGUGCCUUGGUAUAACUAGGGAAUUCCUGCAAGUAUGUUGGCGGAAUAGUUUUAUUAUUAUGGCUUCAUACAUACAUACAUAAUCAUGGUUUGUAAUUGGAGAGUGGGGAUGAGAGGUGGGUAGGUGUUAGUGGUGGGAGAGGCACCCAGGGA